GAUGAACGCUAGCGGCAGGCUUAAUACAUGCAAGUCGAGGGGUAGCAAGAUUGUAGCAAUACAAUUGUUGACGACCGGCAAACGGGUGCGGAACACGUACACAACCUUCCUACAAGUGGGGAAUAGCCCAGAGAAAUUUGGAUUAAUACCCCGUAACAUAGCGAUGUGGCAUCACAUUGCUAUUAUAGCUUCGGCGCUUGUUGAUGGGUGUGCGGCUGAUUAGAUAGUUGGCGGGGUAACGGCCCACCAAGUCUACGAUCAGUAGCUGAUGUGAGAGCAUGAUCAACCACACGGACACUGAGACACGGGCCCGACUCCUACGGGAGGCAGCAGUAAGGAAUAUUGGACAAUGGACGCAAGUCUGAUCCAGCCAUGCCGCGUGAAGGAUUAAGGCCCUCUGGAUUGUAAACUUCUUUUAUAAGGGACGAAAAAAGGUCUUUCUAGAUCGUCUGACGGUACCUUAUGAAUAAGCACCGGCUAACUCCGUGCCAGCAGCCGCCGUAACAC
rnacentral:rRNA from 1 species